rnacentral:lncRNA from 10 species
CUAUAUGCAGAGGAGAUGCUGCUAGAUGGUGGAGUCAUGCAAUAGAAGGAACCUGGGUCCCUGAAUUAUAACGUGGAGCAGAAACCCCCUGCAAGCUUCAGUGGCCUACAACAUGAAUGAAAAAAUGCAAGUCAGUGGGAUGAAGAAAACUCUGCUCCACUCAGUCAUGCACGGACCCAAGUUUCUUCCAGGUUAUGGCACUGUCCUCCUCUAAGCCCUAGAAGUGUUUUUCUUUCAGCCAAAUGACGGGGAAAGAGAGCAGGGGCGGAAGUGGAGGUUCUUCAUGCCAGGCCUGGAAUUUGGACAUCACUUCCACUCAUAUUCCAUUGGUCAGAACUCAGAUGCACAGAGACACAGAGACUUAGAAAUUAAGUUUAGCUGUGCCCGAAUGCAGUGGGGAUCACAGACACUGGUGAGCACUGGCAACUCCUGACACAUUUGAAAAGUAUUCAAGGAGUGACAAAAUGACCAUCUCUCAGGGACUCGAACUGUUGCUGAGACUCAAAAUGAUGGCAUUAUGAGAGAUGAAAAAGCACUUAAGGAACACCAAGUCCAAUCAGCUCCCUACAUGAACUUGCCCAAGGUCACCCAGAUAAAUGUUGGCAGAGCUGUAACUAGAACCUACUUCUAACUCCCAUGCCAUUCCUUUGUCCACCCACUCACCUCCUCGCUUAGUUGUCCUUUCCAAAUCUAAUACAUUAUUGCCUUUUUUGCUCCCUGGUUUAGCUAGUUUUUUGCCUUUGGAAGAUAACUUAUUACUCCUUUCACACAGAUUACUUAUCCAAGAAUCUUCUUUACCUUAUGCCAUCUGCCUCCUUUCACAAAAUGUGGGUUUGAAGGUAAGGAGACAACAAGGCAGAAUGGUAUGUGCCUCUACU